GUUGAGUUAUAACCGUCUCGGUGUUGUGACGUGAAUCGUCUCCCAGCAGAAUGUUUUCCCGCCGUCUAACUUAAUAUUUCACUUUUGUGGAUUUCCGCAGAGAAAGCAGCGACACCGGAGCAGAGAAACACCUCCGGACAGCACGGCACCGUUUAUCUGACUCAUUAUUACUCAUUAAAUCCACUGUUUUUGGAUCAAAGUGCUUUUAAAGACAGAUACUCGGCGAGAUCAACUUUAAAACGAGCGAGCUGAGCAGAAUGAUAAAUGACAGAAGCUCCCAGUGAGCUGCUGUAGCGUGAACUGGCCGCUGGGUGGCAGCACUGACCAGCAGCGUCACUGGGCUCCUUGCAAUGCCUCCUGGGAGCUGGGCUCAUCAUCCAGAUGAGAGGAGGAGCAGCACCAGUUGUCCUGCUUCACUGGUUUCUGUUCUAUUUACAGGCUCUUGACUUCCUUCCAUUUUGUGAUUUUCCCUCCACUGUGAUUGGCUGUGUCCCAAUGUCAAGGAAGGAUGCUCAAACGGCUGGAUUUGAAGGAUACUACGUCAUUGACAUCCGCCAAAGGGCCGUCCCACACACACAAUGGGAUCACAUUUGUCAAGGUCAUUGUGCAAAAUUUGCCUGUUGUUUCCUGAAGAUGCAAACGAUUUCUGCAUCUGAUCGGGCCAUGUAGUUUGAAUAAUUCCUGUCUCCUUGUCUCCACUCCUGUCUCCUUGUCCCCUCUCCUGUCUCCUUGUGUCGUCUCCUGUGUGUCCUUGUUUCCUAUCCUGUCUCCUUGUCUCCUGUCUCCUUGUGUCCUCUCAUGUCUCCCUGUCUCUACUCCUAUGAGUCAUCUCCUUGAACGUGGUGGUUGUUAUGGACAAUAUAUGACUAGCACCGAAGUCCAACAACAAAACACUCAGAUUCAGGCCGUUCCUCCCAACUACCUCCUCCAGGUACCAUCAAUAUUGCCCACGUGAGUGUUGAAGUCUCCCAGAAGAACUCCAGAGUCCCCAGGUGGUUCCCCUUCCAGGACACCACCCAGAGACUCCAAGAAGGCCGGAUACUCUGACCUGCUGUUUGGUGCAUAGACACUAACAACAGUCAGAGACCUCCUCCUCGCAUUGAGGCGACCCUCUGGUUCC